AUUGAACGCUGGCGGCAUGCCUAACACAUGCAAGUCGAGCGGAGCGGCGGACGGGUGAGUAAGGCCUAGGAAUCUGCCUGUUAGUGGGGGAUAACUUCAGGUAACGGGCGCUAAUACCGCCUCCUAUCAGAUGAGCCUAUGUCGGAUUAGCUAGUUGGUGGGGUAAAGGCCUACCAAGGCGACGAUCCGUAACUGGUCUGAGCGGAUGACCAGUCACACUGGGACUGAGACACGGUCCAGACUCCUACGGGAGGCAGCAGUGGGGAAUUUUGGACAAUGGGCGAAACCCUGAUCCAGCCAUGCCGCGUGUGUGAUGAAGGUCUUCGGAUUGUAAAGCACUUUAAGUAGGAAGGCGUUACCUACAGAAUAAGCACCGGCUAACUACGUGCCAGCAGCCGCGGUAAUAC
rnacentral:rRNA from 1 species